rnacentral:rRNA from 1 species
AUUGAACGCUGGCGGCAGGCCUAACACAUGCAAGUCGAACGAGUGGCGGACGGGUGAGUAAUGUCUGGGAAACUGCCCGAUGGAGGGGGAUAACUACUGGAAACGGUAGCUAAUACCGCAUACCAUCGGAUGUGCCCAGAUGGGAUUAGCUAGUAGGUGGGGUAACGGGCCACCUGGGGGACGAGCCCUAGCUGGUCUGAGAGGAUGACCGACCACACGGGAACUGGGACACGGUCCCGAUGCCUACGGAAGGCAGCAGUGGUGAAUAUUGCACAAUGGGCGCAAGCCUGAUGCAGCCAUGCCGCGUGUAUGAAGAAGGCCUUCGGGUUGUAAAGUACUUUCAGCGAGGAGGCGUUACUCGCAGAAGAAGCACCGGCUAACUCCGUGCCAGCAGCCGCGGUAAUUC